GGAUGUUGCUGUCAGGUCUGAGUCGGUUGGAGUCUGACGGGUAGGCGAGACGCGCAGGCGCAGAGAGCCCCAGCCACGCCGGCCCAGGUGGCCUCAGGCAACACCUAAGUGGACCAACCCCUCUGCCUGUCCUGCCCCCCAGACGAUGACUGAAGGCUCCUUUGACACCUUGAGAUGAUUCUGCUACUUUCCAGACUUUUCUUACAAAGCAAACACUUUUAUUUUCUAUGCAAAGGUGAUUCAGAGAAUUUAUAUAAAGGCGGGCGAGGGGCAGCCGAGCAGGGAGCUUUGGGACAGGGCUGGGGCCCCCAUAUCCCCCCCGGGCCACCUGCUUUCCCUCCUAUGGCUCCCCUGGAACAGGAGGGAGAGCCAAGGGGGCGGCCCAGCCUGGACAGCGCCCGCUCCUGCCUGGGUGCACACACGGCGGGCCUGAGCUCCAGCAUCUGAGUUUGGGGGUAUGAGAAACAGGGGAGCAGAAGGAGAAGAAAACUGCCUGUGCUGC
rnacentral:lncRNA from 1 species